rnacentral:rRNA from 1 species
AAACCAGCACCUCAAGUGGUCAGGAGGAUUAUUGGGCCUAAAGCAUCCGUAGCCUGUUCUAUAAGUUUCCGGUUAAAUCCAUUAGCUCAACUAAUGGGCCGCCGAAAAUACUGUGGAACUAGGGAGUGGGAGAGGUAGACGGUACUCGGUAGGAAGGGGUAAAAUCCUUUGAUCUAUUGAUGACCACCUGUGGCGAAGGCGGUCUACCAGAACACGUUCGACGGUGAGGGAUGAAAGCUGGGGGAGCAAACCGGAUUAGAAACCCCUGUAGUCC